UUUUGUAUGUGGCUGGGUACAGUUAACUAGAAAAGGGCCUCAAUACAUUAUAAAAUCUUUGAUGUGAUCCUUAUUUCUUUAUAAAUAUUAAAUGUCAGUGUCCUUGAUCAAUAAUUUUUCUUAGUAGUGCCCUGUUCUUCCCAUUUCAAAGAUGAGUGAGGAAACUAAGCAGCAGUUCCUAAACUGAAGACUGAAGGUUUCUGGGAGUUUCUGCUGUUAAAGAUAGUUACCAGCCAGUCUUGUCUGGUCAACAGGGAUUCCAAGGCCUAAUAGGAGUGCAGCAGCCACCUCAGAGUCAGAACGUGAUGAAUAACCAACAAGGAACUCCGGUGCAAAGCGUGAUGGUUUCCUACCCAACAAUGUCUUCUUAUCAGGUGCCAAUGACCCAGGGUUCUCAAGGACUGCCCCAGCAGUCAUAC
rnacentral:sRNA from 1 species